GAUGAAGAACGUAGCGAAAUGCGAUAAGUAAUGUGAAUUGCAGAAUUCAGUGAAUCAUCGAAUCUUUGAACGCACAUUGCGCCCGGCAGUACUCUGCCGGGCAUGCCUGUUCGAGCGUCAUUUCAACCCUCAAGCCCUGCUUGGUGUUGGGGCCCCACGGCUGCCGUGGGCCCUGAAAGGAAGUGGCGGGCUCGCUACAACUCCGAGCGUAGUAGCAUUUCUUCGCUCUGGGCGCGGCGGCGGGCGCUUGCCGUAAAACAUACUACUUUUUAAAGGUUGACCUCGGAUCAGGUAGGAAUACCCGCUGAACUUAAGCAUAUCAAUAAGCGGAGGA
rnacentral:misc_RNA from 1 species